ACACAACAAACUAUUUUCAUUUUUUUGGUAAUAUAUGUAGACCAUAGCCUGUGCUGGUCAGAUUACAUCAAAUUUGAUAAAAGUCAUGCAUUUUUUAAAUCGCAAAUAUCCAGUAGAUGGUGAACCUGCAGUUAUCAGAGUGAGAAAAUAAUCUUCAUUCUUUUCAUUCUAUCUACACUCUAAAUUUCAAGCAAUUGAAUCAACUCGGAAAGAGUUAUUCUGUGAUAAAAAACAUUGACAAAAUAACUCUUUUCAAGUUGAUUCUCCAAAAUUUACAGUGUAGUUGUUUUGUAUUCGGUAUCAAAAUAUAAAAUAAAGAGUGUAGUUUAUUUUCUCUGCAGAUAUUAUAAAUGUCAGCUGUUUCGAAGUUGGUCACAUUCUGCUGUACUGUAACGUGAUGUACAGACAAUCAGGUAUUUUGAAUCACACAAACUAUGAUUUAAUGAUUAUGAAUAUAUAAACUAAACUACACAGUUUUCAAUACUAACAAACUUUCGUUGGUAGGGAUACAACUACUUGAAAAAUACAAGAAUUUCGACGUUUCGAGCGAAGGCACUUCGUCGGGAAGUUAGUGGCGAAACGUCGAAAUUCUCCUUGUAUUUUUCAGGUAGU